GACGUAGGGCGCGAGCGUUGUCCGGAAUUAUUGGGCGUAAAGAGCUCGUAGGCGGUCUGUCGCGUCUGUUGUGAAAACUCGAGGCUCAACCUCGGGCUUGCAGUGGAUACGGGCAGACUAGAGUGCGGUAGGGGAGACUGGAAUUCCUGGUGUAGCGGUGGAAUGCGCAGAUAUCAGGAGGAACACCGAUGGCGAAGGCAGGUCUCUGGGCCGCAACUGACGCUGAGGAGCGAAAGCAUGGGGAGCGAACAGG
rnacentral:rRNA from 1 species